GGGCCUGUAGCACAAUGGUUAGUGCAGGGGACUCAUAAUCCCUUGGUUCCAGGUUCGAGUCCUGGCAGGCCCACCA
rnacentral:tRNA from 1 species